GAGGGCAGAGCUCAGGGGUAGAGCACAUGCUUAGCAUGCACGAGGUCCUGGGUUCAAUCCCCAGUAUCUCCA
rnacentral:tRNA from 1 species